rnacentral:rRNA from 1 species
UACGUAGGGUGCGAGCGUUAAUCGGAAUUACUGGGCGUAAAGCGUGCGCAGGCGGUUUUGUAAGCCAGAUGUGAAAUCCCCGGGCUCAACCUGGGAACUGCCUUUGAAACUGUCUGGCUUGAGGCCGGGAGGGGGUAGCGGAAUUCCCAGUGUAGCGGUGAAAUGCGUAGAUAUUGGGAGGAACACCAGUGGCGAAGGCGGCUACCUGGACCGGUUCUGACGCUGAUGCGCGAAAGCGUGGGUAGCAAACAGG